AUUGAACGCUGGCGGCAGGCUUAACACAUGCAAGUCGAGCGAGCGGCGGACGGGUGAGUAAUGUCUGGGAAACUGCCUGAUGGAGGGGGAUAACUACUGGAAACGGUAGCUAAUACCGCAUACCAUCAGAUGUGCCCAGAUGGGAUUAGCUAGUAGGUGGGGUAAUGGCUCACCUAGGCGACGAUCCCUAGCUGGUCUGAGAGGAAGACCAGCAAAACGGGAACGGCGACACGGUCCAGACUCCUACGGGAGGCAGAAGUGGGGAAUAUUGCACAAUGGGGGAAAGCCGGAUGCAGACAGGCCGCGUGUGGGAAGAAGGCCUUCGGGUUGUAAAGCACGUUCAGCGAGGAGGCGUUACUCGAAGAAGAAGCACCGGCUAACUCCGUGCCAGCAGCCGCGGUAAUAC
rnacentral:rRNA from 1 species